rnacentral:tRNA from 1 species
GACUCAGUGAUCAAAUGGCAAGGCGUUCGCCGCAGAGCCAGAGGGUUUUGGGUUCGAUCCCCGAUGGGGUCG